UACGAAGGGGGCGAGCGUUGUUCGGAAUUACUGGGCGUAGAGCGCGUGUAGGCGGCCCGGUAAGUCCGCUGUGAAAGUCGGGGGCUCAACCCUCGGAUGCCGGUGGAUACUGUCGGGCUAGAGUGCGGAAGAGGCGAGUGGAAUUCCUGGUGUAGCGGUGAAAUGCGCAGAUAUCAGGAGGAACACCAAUUGCGAAGGCAGCUCGCUGGGACGUGACUGACGCUGAGACGCGAAAGCGUGGGGAGCAAACAGG
rnacentral:rRNA from 1 species